rnacentral:SRP_RNA from 1 species
GCCGGGCGUGGUGGCGGGCGCCUGUAGUCCCAGCUACUCGGGAGGCUGAGGCAGGAGAAUGGUGUGAACCCGGGAGGCGGAGGUUGCAGUGAGCCGAGAUGGUGCCCCUGCACUCCAGCCUGGGCAACAAGAGCAAAAACUCUGUCUCAAAAAAAAAAAAAGAAGAAGAAGAAGAAUAAAAAGACAGAGUCUGGCUCUGUCGCCCAGGCUGGAGUGCAGCGGCAUGAUCUCGGUUCACUGCAACCUCCGCCUCCCGGGUUCAAGUGAUUCUCCUGCCUCAG